rnacentral:rRNA from 1 species
UACGGAAGGCAGCAGUGGGGAAUAUUGCACAAUGGGCGCAAGCCUGAUGCAGCCAUGCCGCGUGUAUGAAGAAGGCCUUCGGGUUGUAAAGUACUUUCAGUCGUGAGGAAGGUGUUAAGGUUAAUAACCUUAGCAAUUGACGUUAGCGACAGAAGAAGCACCGGCUAACUCCGUGCCAGCAGCCGCGGUAAUACGGAGGGUGCGAGCGUUAAUCGGAAUUACUGGGCGUAAAGGGCACGCAGGCGGUUAAUUAAGUUGGAUGUGAAAUCCCCGGGCUUAACCUGGGAAUGGCAUUCAAGACUGGUUAGCUAGAGUCUUGUAGAGGGGGUAGAAAUUCCAUGUGUAGCGGUGAAAAUGCGUAGAGAUGUGGAGGAAUACCGGGUGGCGAAAGGCGGCCCCUGGGACAAAGACUGACGCUCAUGUGCGAAAAGCGUGGGGAGCAAAACAGGAUUAGAUACC